rnacentral:rRNA from 1 species
GAUCAUGGCUCAGGAUGAACGCUAGCUACAGGCUUAACACAUGCAAGUCGAGGGGCAGCAUGGUCUUAGCUUGCUAAGACUGAUGGCGACCGGCGCACGGGUGAGUAACACGUAUCCAACCUGCCGUCUACUCUUGGACAGCCUUCUGAAAGGAAGAUUAAUACAAGAUGGCAUCAUGAGUCCGCAUGUUCACAUGAUUAAAGGUAUUCGAGGUAGACGAG